rnacentral:lncRNA from 1 species
UUGCAUAAUCUGCUGCUCAUUCGAUUGAGUGGUGUCCAUCAUCUCCUCAUCAGCUGCUAGUGGUAUUUUAAUGGUCUUGCUGAGCAGUGUAAGUACGACAUGGUUUCUCUCAACUUUGUUUUUGGGGACAUAGUUAGGUGCGAGAUAAUAUUCUCUCAUGUGCCAGUCACCCGCCUCCUCUUUACCCUUGUAGUACCACCAAAAAAUCUUGAUUUUUCCCAUGUGUCUCUUGUUGGCAUCAAAAAUUGAUUUUCCUCUGAAACACUUUCAUGUUCCAACUUGACUAGAAAAGCGUUUAGCCUGUUUCAAAUCCUGAGAAGUGAUAAAAUACCGUUGUCUCGUCACGCCCAUUACGUACUACACCAAAUUAUUCAUCAUCUUCUGGUCCUUUUCUAUUGGGAAUCUACAACUAUUUUUCAGGCAUUCCAAACAAAACACACAAACAAAAUUUUCUCACAAGAAAAAAAAUCUGUUGAAUUACAACAACAAACAAGAAAGAAGAGGAUCCGUAUUUAUAUUCUUCACUUCCUUUUACUUUCCUACGCGUCAAACCCGAACAAGGAAAUGUUUAGGCCCAAUAGUGGCCCAAACCCGCAAAACAAAUCAUAAAUAUUAAUGUAGGUCAGUAUAAAAGGAAAAAAAUUGCAUGUGCUAAUAUAAUUAAUAGAGACAAACUAAGGUUUCUUUAUAAUUUUACUAUUAUAAUAUUAUUACUAUUAACGUAGGUAAGAAAAAAAAAAAGCAAAAAUUUAAUAGGAGAACAAGUAUGAAACUUAUUAGUACUAUUUUAAUUAUUUUUAUAAUAUUUAAAAUUAAGAAGUCCUAAAAUAUAUGAUAAGAGAAAAAUAUUUUUUAAAAAUAAAGAGUUCUAAAAAAUAUAUAUAUAUAUGGUAAAAUAAAUAUAUAUUGUAUUAAGUAUUAAGACAAUUAAUAAUAAAGUGUUCUACAAUAUAUGAUAAGACGAAAAAAAUAUGGUAAGAGGUACUAAAAAAUUAUUUUUUCUUAUUUGAGUUAUGAAAUAGGAUAUAUCAAACAAUAAUAAUAAUUAAUCAAUUUAUUCUUUCUAAAUAUUUUAGGUAAAAACUUUAAUCAUUUUAGCUCUUUUAAGUUAAUCUUUAAUUUAUAUCUAUUUAUAAUCUAUUUGAGAGAGAAAUUGAGUUUUUUUUUUUAAAUUUUUAUUAUAUAAUAUUAGGCAUUAUUUUUUAAAAUAUUUUUUAUGUAACAGUGACGUGGCAGUGAUGUGGCAAUGAUGCAGCAUGUGAUGUAGCGCGCGUGUAAUGCACCUCCCUCAGUGAGAGUGGUAGUGCAUUUUUAGGAUGGUAUAUAAUUCACUAUAAAGUUGUUAAGGGGGGUAAAUAAUUAUCCGUAAAGUUAAGGGUCUAAAGUAAGUUAUGCGGACAAGUUCAGGGGUGAUUUGAUGUAUUUUCUCAAAGAAAUAACCAGUAGGAUAUAUAUGGAAUCCUAAUAAAAUAAAUAUAUUAAAUUUUGAUUAUUAAUUUUUUUAAAAGUCAGGUGAUCCAAAAUAGAGAUUCGGAUUCUCUUUUUAUUAUUAGUAAAAACUCUUAUAAUCACAUAAAUACUAUAAUAUAUUUUAAGAGCAUAAGUUCCAAAAUUAUUAUUUAUUCUUAAAUUACCGUAUUUAUCCAAAACACGUUACAAUGUUAAAAUGCUCUCUAACUCUACUCUACAAAAUUUUAUAUUUUUGAUUUACAUAAUAUUUUUUUAAGUAGGAGUCUAUUUGUCUUUUUCUUAAAAAAUUUUCAGGUUUUAGCUUUUUUCUUAGGUGUUGGAAUCUAUAAUAUUUGUUUUUUUUAAUUCCUUUUUGGUUUAGACAAUGUUUACUUUUUUAAUUCCUUUUUGAUUUAGGGUCUCCUAUAUAUAUAAAAAAUAUUAUUGCACAAUUUCAUUCAUGAAUUUUAUCAUUUUUGUAUUUUUAAGUUUUCUUUCUUUACGAAUUUUUCUUUUAUAGUAGAUCUUAAUGUUUGUCUUAUUACUUUCUCUUAUGUUUUCCAUUAUAAAUAUAUCAUUCAUAUUCUUUAUCAAAAUUUCAGGUUCAUGAAAUGAAUUUGUCUAGAGGUAUGUUUUCUAAAAUUUUAGAUUGAUUUUGAAGUUUACAGUAAUAAAUGAUGUAUUUUUUUAUAAACAAUUAUAAAUUAGGAAAUUUCUUUGUGAGUUUUGUUUAUAGUAUUUCAUAUACAAUUAGUGAUUUGAAAUUGAAUUAUUUACAAUUUUGGACAGAUUAUUUAGACUAUCGCAUUUUAUCAUGAGAAAUUGAUUGGUCAUUCGAAAUUUAUGAUAAUUAGUAAUGAAAUUGAUUUGUUUAUAAUUUUGAAUAAAUUAUUUGGAUCAUCGCAUUUCGUUAUGAAAAAUUGAUAGGUCAUUCUGAAUGCAUAAUAAUAAGUUAUCUUAUUAAUUAAAAAAAAAAAUUUAUCUAUGCUUUAUGGUUAAAAACCUAUGUAUAUUAAGUUCUGAGGAUUAUUCCUCGGAUUAGGUUUUUAGGAGAUUUUAUUUUUAUUUGUUAGUUGUUUGGCUUAUCAUUAAAUUUUUUUAAUCACUGGUUGUAGGUAUAAAGAGGCCAUCAACAAUUUUGAGAAUUGCUUCUUUUUAUUUGAGGUAACGAAUUUUUUCUUAUUUUGAUGUAAAUUAGUAUAUAUAUCUCCUCUUUUUUUUUUUUAAUUUUGGGUUUGAUUUAAUUUUCUUGCAUUUAUUAUGUAUCAUCAUUCUUUCUACGAGAAAAUAGCCAAAAAAUCCCCCAACCUUUACCCCAAAUCCCAACUACACACUUAUACUUUGCGGGGGUCUUAUGACCCCCCUGAACUAUUUAAAAAUGAUAUUAUUACCUCUCUAAAUGCUUACGUGGCAUAGCGAGUAUAUCUCACUCUCCUUGAGAGAGUGAGCACCGAAAAUAAAAAUAAAAAUUUUAUUUUCACAUUUCUUUAUAUAUAUAUAUAUACAUUUUUUAUUUUUUCUUUAUUUGCUUUAUUCUUUAUCCUCUCCUUCUCUCCAUUUUCAUAUUCUUCACCAUCUUCAUCUUCCUCUUCCUCUUUCACAUCUCCAUCUUCAUUUUUUUAUCUCCAUUUUCAUUUAUACCGCAAAUUCAAUACUUUUCUCAUCAUUAGUUUUUUAACUAUCAUUUUUAGACCCACUAAUUUUUUCUUUUUGUGAAGAAGGAUAAAUAAUCCAAAGUGUUUCCGUCAGAAUGGCUUCACAGCCGCAGGUGAAGCUUUUUCGGCCACCGAAUCAGUUCCAAAAUGAACAUAUCAGUGAUAUUCACCAACCCCAUAAACAAUUACACACAUAUUCAUCUCAUAAUUCUCUGAAAUUUGAAAAGAUUAAAGUGGUCCUUGAAGUAAUUUCCGAUGAAAAGUGAAAAUUAGUUCAAAAAUUUAUGUCUCAUGAGGAUUUCAGAUCGAGUGAAACGAUUCCAAACCAUGAAAUCAAUAUUAUAUCUCAAAAUCAAUAUUCAUAUUUAAGCUUUUUUUGCACUGUUUCAACAUUAAGAUUGAUUUUUAAGUUGUGGGUUUCUUGAUUUUGUCUGUUUUAGCAUCAAGAUUGAAUUUUGAGUUGUGUGGUUUGUUGAAAUUGUUUGUUUUAGCAUCAAGAAUAAAUUUUGAGUUGUGACAUCUUUUGGAUUUAUCAACAAUGAUGAGACAAAUGAUGGAGAAUUAUCGAAGGAAAUGGGAGAGGGUGAUUUUGUGAGGGAUAGUGAGUUGUUUGGGUGAAAUUUUAUUGAGGGUUAAUUGAAGGUAGAUGAAGUCAUCAUCUUCUUCUGAAUCUUCAUGUAAGAGUGAAUUGAAGUACAUGCUACAAAUGCCCUUUUGGAUUUUUAUGUUAAAUGUGAGAAUGUGAUAGAGGCAAGUAAUUUUUUGAUAAGUUGGAUGAUGAUAGUGUAGUGUCUUGGACAUCUUUCAUUGUAGGUUUGGCUGGCAAUGGUUUUGAUUCCAUGGAUUGAAGUAGGAUAAAAAUUAAAAAUGAUUUUGAUUCCAUGGAUCGAAGUAGGAUAAAAAUUAAAAAAAUGAUAAAAAUGAUUAAACAAUAAGAAAAAAGAAGAAUAAAAUUAAUUUUUUAUAUAAAAAAAUCACAAUAUUACAUGGCAUAAGCUGAUAGGCGCGUGCAGCUCACUCACUUGUACAGAUCUGGGCAUGAGUUUUUAGACGGGCAUAUAUUCUAUUUUUAAAUAGUUCAAGGGGGUCAUAGGACUCUCGCAAAGUAUAAGUGUGUAGUUGGGAUUUGGGAUAAAGGUUGGAGGGACUUUUGGCCAUUUUCUCUUCUUUCUACCUUGAAUUCUGCCUUUAAUCUCCUAAGUGAAAAUUCAAACAAUGAAUUUUCUUCUUCUGAUAAUAUCUGUGUUUCUUUUUCAGGUGAAUGUUUUUUAACAGAAAAUUGAACGAAACAAGCAUGUUGCCGCCGAAAGAAGUAGUCGAUAAAGAUCAAAGUUGGUAACUUGACUUUUUAUAGUGUUUUUUCUUAAUUAAUUUCUUCUCCUAAAUAGCGAAUUUCAUCCAACAAUACAAAUACAGUAUAAUAAUUGAUUCGAACCUUCAUAGAGGGUUCUGACAAUUUAAAUAUAGAUCAUUAGGAUGCUAAUUGUUAUUUUUCUAAUAGAUAUUAUUUUCCUUUUUAUAGUUUUUUGUAGUUAGAUACUUCAAGUUAAUUGAGCACUGAAAUGAGGCAUGAUAAUGGUUAUUUAGUUUGUUCCAUAUUGUUCCUUAAUUUUAAAUAUCGUGAUUUUUUUUCAUGUACUUUCAUCUAAACUUUUUUGAAAAUUUUGUACUAAUUGUGAUUUAAUCUUAUUUUUUUAAUUGGAUUUUAAAAAAAAUAUUUAAAAUUUUGAAAGCAACUAAAAAAAGGUUAUUAAAUCUUAAUUAGCUAGAAAGCACGACAAAUGUGUACCUAAAGGAGUAGUACUAUUUAAAACUCUAUAAGGCAUGAAACCUAAAAAACUCUUAAAAGAAAGAGUAUUUGUUGGCUCAAUCAAUGAUUGGUGUAAAAGAAAUUACACGAAAAAAUGUCUUCCCGUAUACAUAUAUACUUUCGCACACAAAAAUAUCUUAUUUUUUUAGCAUACGAAAUAGAUACACGAAUUCAAUUGUUUAUUUUACCUUUUUUCUUAGUUCAUUUCAAUAUCUUUUUUAAAAUACUCUAUUUCUAAAUUUUCAUACAGUAUACUUAAAACUACAAGAUUAAAGUAUAUUUUAGUAUAUUUCACAUAUCUAUAAUAAUUAUAAAAGAGACAUUAGAAAAUGUAUGGUGAAUUAUCAUGUUCUUCACAUUUUUUGUCCUAAAAUUAAUGUUGAUUUUUAAAAUUUUCAACUUAAUAAUAUAACGUACACACAAUAAUUUGUUCUUUUAAUAUUCAUUUAUUGUUAAUUAACUAUACACACAUGCAAACCACGUACACCUAAACUAGUAAAUCUUUAUAGAGAGAAAAAAAAUUAAAACCUUUCAACGUUUUGGUCGACUUCAAAGUAAAAAGUAAAUAAGGUCCUCUUCAUCAGCAAAAGUUUCAUAGAAUCAUUCACUGAUUUGAUAAUUUGUUAUGAUUGUUUCAAAUUCUUUCUAUCUUCUGUUUUUGUAAGACGAAGCAAUUAGUGGAAACACUGAUGAAAUUUCAAAUUCAAAUUCUAGGACUGAGAGAGGAAGCAAUUAGUGGAAGCACUGUUGAAAAGGCUUACAGCCUGACACUUAUUAGUUAAAUAUUUUGCAUUUAUUUUAGCCUGUGUGAUUUGCAGAUUAUUACACAGUAGGGAAUGAAGGGCAGAGAUUGUGACAGAGAUAGCGGGGAAUGAAGGGCAGAGACUGUGGCAAAAAUUGUAGCGGCUGCGGGUUAUCCUGAGGUUCCAAAAAAAAAAUAUUGUUUGGACCAUUGCUAUAUAUUGUUCUACUUAGCUAUUAAAACUCAGGAUUCUCAUAUCAAAUAUUGAUAUUUAUAUUAUCUUUUUUCUUUGUUUUAGUUUAAAAUUAGCUUUAGGUUCGUAGAAUUUAGAACCAAGAAUCUAUUAAGUUUUGAUGCAGUCGGGCUUUGAAAAUCUUUUGUAUAUAGAUUAGUGGCAUCAAUUUCGUACCAGAAACCGCUUUAAUAGCUCGAAUAGAACAAUGUUUUCCAACUUUUGUGUCCAAGAGCCUCUUAAGUACAAGCAGAAAGCUUCAGUUCCAAGAAGAAGUUUAGCAAAUCUGAGAUGACAGGCAACGUUAACUCUAUGUUUCAGCACAUUCUUAGUGAAUCAUGUGUGUCUUGAUUUUUUGAGGGGAAACUGUUCACAAUCACAAAGAUGGUAAAGAAGCAGAGAAUCAAUCCAUGAGCCCUACUGAGAUAGAGAAAAUCAUCGGACUCGAAGAGGUACUAGAAAUAAUGGCCAUGUAAGUGAUGAUAGUGAACAGAAACCAGUGGAAUGCUCCAGAGAGACAUAUUAAGGAAAAGUGAUGAAGAGAUGGAGAUUUUUGAGCUAACAGUAUGUACAAGAAAUAAAGGAUAGCUCCUAAGAGAGCGAAUAUGAAUCCGACAAUGUAGAUUCCCAUCAAAUGAUACAUAGCUUUACUAAGACCACCUUCUGUUUCACUUGGCUGUUCAAUGAACUAAAAUCACAUCAGAAAGGAAUUUCACUCUAUUCAAAUUAAGUUCACAGGAUAUUGCUAUAAACCACUAAAACAAUUGAAUAAUGAACUCUUAUUGUAGGUAAAGAGAGGAAUACAGUGAUAUUAUUUAGAGAAGUUUUCACCAGCUGUACCUCUUUGCAGCAACUUUUUAGUAAAUGACCCUCUUUUUAUUUCUCUGGCAACUUAUGGACCUUUUUGACCACGAUCUAAAGAUGACUUUUGGAGCUAAACUGGAAGACUUCAGAGAAAAAGUUGAAACCAGAGUCUAAAAUUUUAUGAGUCAUUGCAAACAUCAGAUGAUAGUCUAAUAUUUUUGUAAGGUUGAGAAAUAUGUAAGAAAAUAUUAGUUUCAGUCUAACGCUGUCCCGGAUGGUAAUCUUCUUAGAGCUAUAUUAUCACCAACUGACCCCUUGUAGGAUUCUCAUAGCUAUACAGAUCUAUCCACAGAAACAUUAUUGAGAGAGUUAAGAACGAUAAACAAAUAUAAGGUCCCAUAUAGAGGUAAGUGAAAUGACGUACACAAAAAUACAGUAAUUCACCUUUCCAGAUAUUACAGAGACAACAUGCAACCAGCAAACACCUUGGAAAGUUGUUUAGACUUCAAAUUCACCCAUAACUCCUCGAACUUACUGAAGAAACUAAGGCCUUUACUUUAUCCUCAUUUACAGGAUUGUAACAUCUUUAUAGCUACUUCAUGAUUCGCAUCGUAAUCAGUGGCUGAUUGAUGAUGUUUGGCUGACCAAACAUCACCAAAGCAUCCACGUCCGAUCCUAUGUUUAAGUUGAUCGACGCAGGAUCAAUGUACGGACCCGGCUGGGGCAGUUGCAGCAACAACAGUUUUGAGAUGAUCAGGAUCUCCUUAAUAAAGCUCGUAAUCGAAGGAGGUUGCCAAAGGACAUACUUUGAAAUCUUUAGACAUUUUCCCAGCUAAAAGGGCAAAAAGCAAUUUUUAUAAAAAAACAUGAGAUCAACAAUCACAAUUUGCACGGCAUGUAAUAGGAACUUCCGCCAGUACAUAAAAUCAGACAAGUCAUAGCUAGUUAAAUUUGGGUUUUGUUAAACUCCGUUACACAAAUGGCUCAUAUGUGAAGAGCGAAAUGUUGAGGACUCAUAUGUGAAGAGUGAACAUAUAAAAGGGAAAUUUUGUCAAAAGCAAACAGCCAAAACAUCGCUACUCCUACUCCUGUUUCAAUUAGUUCCAAUGGCAAGACAAUGUCCACACUGUGUGACCAAGAAAGUAGUAUUCCUUGAAAACUAGCUAAAACAUGCAAGAAUCUCACAAAUCAGAAUAAAACUCUUUUUUUAUGAAGUAAGAUGUUUCAUGAGAAGGCAUCAAGCAGAUGCAAAGCUUAAAAAAGAGAGAUUAGAUCAGCCCAGAUACACACAUGACUAAGAAACCUUACUUUCACACACAUGAUCUUCUUACUUUCAGAUGCACACAUGUUGUAAGCAGAAUAAAACUUAUAUCGUGAAGCCCGACUAUGAAGAAAUCUAAAUUCGGACGACAAAUACAAAGGAAAUCUAGAUAGCAAACCUAAAUUCUGACCAUCAAAAUAAAGGAAAUUGAGAAAGACCUCUUAGUAUUUCUGAUUUAGAAUGACCACUUACUAUAUUUGGCUGACCAAACAUCACCAAAGCAUCCUAUGCUUAAGUUUGAUCGAAGCAGGAUCAAUGUACGGACCCGGCUGGGGCAGUUGCAGCAACUACAGUUCUGAGAUGAUCAGGAUUUCCUUCAUAAAGCUCGUAAUCGAAGGAGGUUGCCAAAAGACAUACUUUGAAAUAUUUAGAAAUUUUCCCAGCUAACAGAGCAAAAGGCAAUUUUUAUUUAAAAAACAUGAGAUCAACAAUCACAAUUUGCACAGCAUGUAAUAGGAACUUCCGCCGGUACAUAAAAUCAGACAAGUCACAGCUGAAUUAUUGAAUUCCUCAAGCAACAUUUCUAACAACAACAACAUACACAGUGAAAGUGAAAUCUGACAAAUGGAGUUUUGGGGAGGGUAAAGUGUAUGCAGACCUUACCCCCUGCCUCGUGGAGGUAGAGAGGUUGUUUCAGAAGGAAACUCAACUGGAGUGCAAAGAAUCAAAAUAGAAAUGGAACAGGAAAAAAGGCAACGAAGAAAACAUGAUCACUAAUAAGGAAAGCAAGUAGAGAGAAAUCAGAAAAGGAUCAGUGACAGCAGUAAAAUAGUGGAAUAAGUGAAACACAAUAAACAAAGAUACAUCAAAAGCAAGAAACUAGCUACAUCAAGGACACAAUGCCGUGACCUCCAUGGUCUCUUAUCUAAGAUAAUGGAAAUUUGAUAUAAAAUAGUCAACAACAUACAAUAUAUGUUCAUCACAAGUAAAAUAAGCAACAUACAUAUUAGUUCAUCACAAGUAAAAUAAGCAGCAUACAAUAUAAGUGCAUCACAAGUAAAAUAGUCAGCAACAUACAAUAUAAGUUCGUCACAAGUAAAAUAGUCAGCAACAUACAAUAUAAGUGCAUCACAGGUAAAUAGUCAGCAACAUACCAUAUAAGUGAAUCACAAGUAACAGUCAGCAACAUACAAUAUAAGUGCAUCACAAGUAAAAUAGUCAGCAACAUACAAUAUAAGUUCAUCACAGGUAAAUAGUCAGCAACAUACCAUAUAAGUGAAUCACAAGUAACAGUCAGCAACAUACAAUAUAAGUGCAUCACAGGUAAAUAGUCAGCAACAUACCAUAUAAGUGAAUCACAAGUAACAGUCAGCAACAUACAAUAUAAGUGCAUCACAAGUAAAAUAGUCAGCAACAUACAAUAUAAGUUCAUCACAGGUAAAUAGUCAGCAACAUACCAUAUAAGUGAAUCACAAGUAACAGUCAGCAACAUACAAUAUAAGUGCAUCACAGGUAAUUUCCCCCCUUGGUUGUCGGCUAGUGGUACCCUAAUGGUCUUGCUGAGCAGUGUAAUUACGACAUGGUUUCUCUCAACUUUGUUUUGGGGGACAUAGCUAGGUGCGAGAUAAUAUUCUCUCAUAUGCCACUCACUGGGCUCGUCUUUAGCCUUGUAGUAGUACCACGAAAUCGUGAUGUUUCCCAUGUGUGUUUUGAUGGCAUCAAAAACUGAUCUUUCUUUUGGGUUCAGGCUUCCAUCUUCCAGCUUGACUAGAAAAGCGUUUGGCCUUUUUCAAAUCCUGAAAAGUGAUAAAAUACCGUAGUCUCUACAACCUCCGUGGCCCCUUGGUAGACUCAAAAAUGUCCAUCCACAUCAUUCAUAACAGUGUGCUUAACAGAAAAAGGCUUACCCAUUACGUACUUCACCAAAUUGCUCAUCGUCACCUUUUCCUUUUCUAUUGGGAAUCCACCAUUACUUUUCGACAUUCCCAAUAAAACACAAACAAAACUGAAUAAUUCAACAACAAACAAGAAAGAAAAGGAUCCCCAUUUAUUAGGGUUCUCUUCACUUCCUUUACUUCCCUACCCGUUAAACCCGAAAAAGACAAAGGGAAUGUUUAGGCCCAACAAUGGCCCAAACACGCAAAACAAAUAAUAUCUAUAAUCGAAUCUAUAAUCUAUAAUUUAUAAUUUAUAUAUAUACUAAUCUUAGGACACGCGCACCAUUUUAUGAAUUCAAUUUGAUAAAAUUAUUUUAAUAUUAUAAAAAAAAAAUAUGUUUGGAUUACUAAGCAAAUUGAUG